ACACAUUCCUUCAUCCAUUCCAUCUUCUUUGUCUCUCCAUUUCCUUUCCAUUUUCCUACACACAUUCCUUCACCCAUUUCAUCUCCUUGUCUCACCAUUUCCUCUCCUCUCAUUCUCUCACACAUCUCUUCCAUCAAAUCAUCUUCCAUCAUCCUGUCGUACUCCUGCUUUGAAGACUCCUCAAGCUUUCUUGAAGAAUAAUCAAAGGUAAUUUUGUGCGCUUAAUUCAGGCGUACCAAUGGCACAUAUGGAUGGGAUGUGAAUAGUCGGAAUAAUAAUGGUACAAAAUUGACGUGUCGUGACUAUUACGCAUAUAUUUUACAGGUUAAUAAACCAUUCUUCAUCCUCUUAUUGUGAAUAAAUUAACGUUAAUUUAAACAUCAUGUUAAUUGGUAAAUUUUAUCAUUUCAAAUUCGUCCACAUAAUGAAUCAAUUUUACUUCAAGGAGGCCGCCUGUUACAACAAUAUGUUGUCGAUAAUUAUGUGAAAAUUGAGACACAAAGCUUAGAUGGAUUCGCAGUAAUCAAGAUACCCUACGACGUGAACUUUAUAAUGGACUCCAAGACUCGCUAAAUGCCGGUGAAAAUAAUGCAGGUAACAUUGGUCGCAGAACUAUUUUACCUUCCUCAUUUAUCGGUAGUCCACUUGAUAUGCACCAGAGAUACCAAGAUGCAAUGGCUUUGGUCCAAAAAUACGGGAAGCCAGAUAUUUUUCUCACAAUGACAUGCAACCCGAAUUGGGAAGAAAUAAAGGCAGAGUUAUUACCGGGUCAAGUGGCACAAGAUCGCCCAGAUUUAUGUACCCGGAUUUUUCGUGCCAAAUUUGAAGAGCUGAAGGAAGACGUUAUCAAAAAAGGGGUCUUACGUACUGUUGUUGCACAUGUUUAUGUCAUCGAAUUUCAAAAACGUGGUCUCCCACAUGUUCAUAUGCUUCUGAUGUUAAAUGACGAUGAUAAGUUGAAUAACCCGGAUGAUUAUGACAAAAUUGUUCGAGCUGAAAUACCAAGUCAAGAUAAAGAACCGGAGUUGUACAAUGCCGUAUUGAGGCACAUGAUACAUGGUCCAUGUGGAGUACAUAAGCGUAAUGCCCCAUGUAUGAAGCGUGGGAGUUGUAAACGAGGUUAUCCUAAGCCCUUUUCAGCCAACACAUUUCAAGGGAAUGACUCUUAUCCCAUUUACCGUAGGCGAGAUGUUCACCCAAAUGCGGAAUCUGAUUUCAAUCAAAGCAGACAAGUAGAUAACAGUUGGUUAUUCCGU